rnacentral:rRNA from 1 species
CAGUCGCCACGGGAACACGGAGGGUGCAAGCGUUAUCCGGAUUUAUUGGGUUUAAAGGGUCCGUAGGCGGACUUAUAAGUCAGUGGUGAAAGCCUGUCGCUUAACGAUAGAACUGCCAUUGAUACUGUAAGUCUUGAGUAUAUUUGAGGUAGCUGGAAUAAGUAGUGUAGCGGUGAAAUGCAUAGAUAUUACUUAGAACACCAAUUGCGAAGGCAGGUUACCAAGAUAUAACUGACGCUGAGGGACGAAAGCGUGGGUAGCGAACAGGAUUAGAUACCCCAGUAGUCCCUGUCUCUUAUAC